rnacentral:rRNA from 1 species
UACGGGGGGUGCGAGCGUUGUCCGGAAUCACUGGGCGUAAAGGGCGCGUAGGUGGUUUGAUAAGGGUGUGGUGAAAGUCCGGGGCUCAACCCCGGAUCUGCCGUGCCGACUGUCAAACUCGAGGGCUGUAGAGGCAGACGGAAUUCCGGGUGUAGCGGUGGAAUGCGUAGAUAUCUGGAGGAACACCGGUGGCGAAGGCGGCAUCCUGGACCAACACUGACGCUGAGUGAGCGAAAGCCAGGGGAGCAAACGGG